AUGGCCUGGUCCCCUCUGCUCCUCAUGCUCCUCUCUAACUGCACAGGAUCCUGGGCCCAGUCUGUGCUGACUCAGUCAUAAUCAGUAUCUGGCAACCUGGGCCAGAGGGUCACCAUCUCCUGCAUGGGAAGCAGCUCCAACAUCGGGGAUGGUUAUAUUGUGCACUGGUACCAACAGCUCUCAGGAACAGCCCCCAAACUCCUGAUAUAUGGUAGCAGCAAUCGACCCUCAGGGGUCCCUGAUCGAUUUUCCGGCUCCAGGUCUGGCAGCUCAGCCACCCUGACCAUCACUGGGCUCGAGCCUGAGGACGAGGCUGAUUAUUACUGCUCAAGUUGGGAUAACACAAGCCAUGGGGAAAAAAAUGACCAUAGAAAGUAUUUAUGCGACAGAGAAAAAGUAAGGACAAAGUGA